rnacentral:rRNA from 1 species
UAGCAAUAUUUCGUAGUUGGAGCGGCGCAAGGGUGCGUAACACGUGGGUAAUCUGCCGUGAAGUCUGGAAUAACUUGCUGAAAGGCGAGCUAAUACCGGAUGUGAAAAUUGGAGGGCAUCUUCUGAUUUUCAAAGUUGGGGACCGUAAGGCCUGACGCUUCACGAUGAGCCCGCGGCCUAUCAGCUAGUUGGUGAGGUAACGGCUCACCAAGGCUAAGACGGGUAGCUGGUCUGAGAGGACGACCAGCCACACUGGAACUGAGACACGGUCCAGACACCUACGGGUGGCAGCAGUCGAGAAUUUUUCACAAUGGGCGAAAGCCUGAUGGAGCGACGCCGCGUGGGGGAUGAAUGGCUUCGGCCCGUAAACCCCUGUCAUUCGCGAACAAUGCCUGCGUGCUAACAUCACGCAGGUUGAUAGUAGCGGAAGAGGAAGGGACGGCUAACUCUGUGCCAGCAGCCGCGGUAAUACAGAGGUCCCAAGCGUUGUUCGGAUUCACUGGGCGUAAAGGGUGCGUAGGUGGUCGGGUAAGUCUGAUGUGAAAUCUCGGAGCUCAACUCCGAAACGGCAUUGGAUACUAUUCGGCUUGAGGGUUGGAGGGGGGACUGGAAUUCACGGUGUAGCA